UACGGAGGAUGCAAGCGUUAUCCGGAAUCAUUGGGCGUAAAGAGCGCGCAGGCGGUCGAUCAAGUCGAGUGUGAAAGCCCCCGGCUCAACUGGGGAGGGUCAUUCGAUACUGAUCGACUCGAAGGCAGGAGAGGGUAGUGGAAUUCCCGGUGUAGUGGUGAAAUGCGUAGAUAUCGGGAGGAACACCAGUGGCGAAGGCGACUACCUGGCCUGUUCUUGACGCUGAGGCGCGAAAGCUAGGGGAGCGAACGGG
rnacentral:rRNA from 1 species